rnacentral:rRNA from 1 species
UGGGGCAGAUGAUUGGGGUGAAGUCGUAACAAGGUAUCCCUACCGGAAGGUGGGGAUGGAUCACCUCCUUUCU